AGACCCAUUUGGAUUUUCAACUCAGAUACGAUCUAGCGCACGAUCCAUUCUGAUCUUUCAUCCCCAGCAAAGUCAUCCACCUAAUGAAUAACUCACUCUGGUAUUCAGACACGGUCUAAAGUACGAUCCAUUCUGAUCCCUUAUUCCCAGCAGUAUAUAACACGCUCCGAAUCCCCAGCGAAGUCGACAGCAUAAUGGAUGACUCACUAUACGGUCUGACACACGAC
rnacentral:lncRNA from 1 species